ensembl:lncRNA
AUUAGUCUCUGCCCGCAUUUUAGUUCCCACCCUUUAACUGCCCUCUGCUCAGUCAACCCUGCCCCACAACCACUUCCCUGGACCUGGCCCUCGCCCCUCACCUCGAGGCUACCCACCCAGGGAACCCUCUUGAACUCACCAAGCAAACUGGAAAUUCUGGCCCUCUGAGAACAGAUUGAGGGAAGUGAGAUUCCAGGAGCUCACAGUCUGAGCAGGGAGAGGUUCACUGGAUAGUCGUGCACUAGACUUCGAAGCCAGGGGAUCCUUGGCUGAGCUAUGAUGUUUUCAAUGGUUUAGAACCUGGUGACCUUUGAGAACAUGGCUGUGGACUUCACCCAGAAGGAGUGGGCAUUGCUGGAAAUGUCCGAAAGAUCCCUGUACAGGGAGGUGACGCUGGAGAACUUCAAGAACCUGGCCUCGCUUGGUAUCUGAAGGUCUGAUCAUCACUCAGCAUAGGAAAAAGGGAUUUUUAGAUGCAUAUGAAUUACCAAAACUGAACCAAGAAGAUAAUAAAAUUUUAAAUAGUCCAGUAACAGGUGAUGAAACCGAGGCAGUCAUAAAAAUCCUACCAGCUAAGAAAAAUCCAGGACCUGAUGGAUUCACCAAUGAAUUCUACAAAAACUUCAGGGGAAAUUUAAUCCCAAUACUCCUCAAACUCAGGAUGAAAUUGAGAGGGAAGGAGUACUGCCAAACUCAUACAUGGAAGCUAGCAUUACCAUGAUACCAAAUUCAGACAAGGACUUAACAAAAAAAGGAAACGACAAGCCAAUCUUUUUUAAUGAACAUAUGUUACAGCUUGUAUCUAAAUGUCCCCCAAAAGCCGCAUGCAGUCACAGGUGGGGCUUUUGGGAGGUGGCUGGAUAUAGGGUGUGUGACUAUUUAGGGUGGGUGAUAAGUAAAUUAG